ensembl:rRNA 5S_rRNA 5S ribosomal RNA
UCUUCUGGCCUGUAGUUGUAUUUCGACAAGCUGUAGUCCCAACAGGUCUCGUAAGUGAAGCAAUGUCAGGCCUGGUAAGUACUUUGAUGGGAAAUGUGUUUGGAAAACAGAGGUGCUGGAGGAA